rnacentral:rRNA from 1 species
ACACUCCUGCGGGAGGCAGCAGUGGGGAAUUUUGGACAAUGGGCGAAAGCCUGAUCCAGCAAUGCCGCGUGAGUGAAGAAGGCCUUCGGGUUGUAAAGCUCUUUUGUCAGGGAAGAAACGGUGAAAGCUAAUAUCUUUUGCUAAUGACGGUACCUGAAGAAUAAGCACCGGCUAACUACGUGCCAGCAGCCGCGGUAAUACGUAGGGUGCAAGCGUUAAUCGGAAUUACUGGGCGUAAAGCGUGCGCAGGCGGUUUUGUAAGUCUGAUGUGAAAUCCCCGGGCUCAACCCGGGAAUUGCAUUGGAGACUGCAAGGCUAGAAUCUGGCAGAGGGGGGUAGAAUUCCACGUGUAGCAGUGAAAUGCGUAGAUAUGUGGAGGAACACCGAUGGCGAAGGCAGCCCCCUGGGUCAAGAUUGACGCUCAUGCACGAAAGCGUGGGGAGCAAACAGGAUUAGAAACCCCUGUAGUCCCAUG